rnacentral:rRNA from 1 species
CGUAAUCCGGGUUGCGGACAGUGUCUGGUGGGUAGUUUGACUGGGGCGGUCUCCUCCUAAAGAGUAACGGAGGAGCACGAAGGUUGGCUAAUCCUGGUCGGACAUCAGGAGGUUAGUGCAAUGGCAUAAGCCAGCUUGACUGCGAGCGUGACGGCGCGAGCAGGUGCGAAAGCAGGUCAUAGUGAUCCGGUGGUUCUGAAUGGAAGGGCCAUCGCUCAACGGAUAAAAGGUACUCCGGGGAUAACAGGCUGAUACCGCCCAAGAGUUCAUAUCGACGGCGGUGUUUGGCACCUCGAUGUCGGCUCAUCACAUCCUGGGGCUGAAGUAGGUCCCAAGGGUAUGGCUGUUCGCCAUUUAAAGUGGUACGCGAGCUGGGUUUAGAACGUCGUGAGACAGUUCGGUCCCUAUCUGCCGUGGGCGCUGGAGAACUGAGGGGGGCUGCUCCUAGUACGAGAGGACCGGAGUGGACGCAUCACUGGUGUUCGGGUUGUCAUGCCAAUGGCACUGCCCGGUAGCUAAAUGCGGAAGAGAUAAGUGCUGAAAGCAUCUAAGCACGAAACUUGCCCCGAGAUGAGUUCUCCCUGAGACUUAGAGUCUCCUGAAGGAACGUUGAAGACGACGACGUUGAUAGGCCGGGUGUGUAAGCGCAGCGAUGCGUUGAGCUAACCGGUACUAAUGAACCGUGAGGCUUAACCUUACA